UACGUAGGGUGCAAGCGUUAAUCGGAAUUACUGGGCGUAAAGCGUGCGCAGGCGGUGAUGUAAGACAGAUGUGAAAUCCCCCGGGCUCAACCUGGGAACUGCAUUUGUGACUGCAUCGCUGGAGUACGGCAGAGGGGGGAUGGAAUUCCGCGUGUAGCAGUGAAAUGCGUAGAUAUGCGGAGGAACACCGAUGGCGAAGGCAAUCCCCUGGGCCUGUACUGACGCUCAUGCACGAAAGCGUGGGGAGCAAACAGG
rnacentral:rRNA from 1 species